GUUUCACCACGUUGGCCAGGCUGGUCUUGAACUCCUGACCUCAGGUGAUCCACCCGCCUUGGCCUCCCAAAGUGCUAGGAUUGCAGGUAUGAGCCACCGCGCCCAGCCCAAAGUAUUUAUCUGUUUAUAAAAUAUGGAUUUGUAUUUCUCCAUAGAUGUAUUCAGGUGUCUUUUUUUUCUAUCAAUCUGAUAUUAGUCCCUAACAUAGUGUAUUUUUCUUUGUCUAUUUAAACAGAGAAAGGGAGAUACAGAAAGUUGUGUGUAAACCCAAAUUGUUCUGAAAAAAGUAAGAUCUAUACCAAAAAGAAGAAGGACAAUGACCAGCUGAGGUUGUCACGUGGAACUAGAUGAAAAAACAGCCCAUUGCUCUAUAGAAAUGCAAUGGGUUGGCCCAGAAUCCCGAGAGGAGGCUGCCUACCAGAUUGGAUCUCACAUCUCUGGAAAAUGAAGCUUCUGGGUGAUCCCACUACUUUUAUUUAACUGGGUCAUGCCAUUAAUACUUACUUAGCUCAGCUCUAUGCCAGGCCCUGUCCUAGGACCUAGAGAUGCAACAGUGAAUGCAACAGACAAAAAUACCUGCCCUCACAAAUGUUACAGUUGAAAGAGAGUGGGGAUAAAAGACAGACAGUAGACCAAAGAAAUAGGUAAAAAAAAAAUGUGUAUGAUUUGUUAUAUAAUGUUAAGAGCUAUAGAGAACAAUGAUACAGAGAAGGGAGACAGGGAAUGCCCACGUGGGGUUGCGAUUUUAAUCGGAGGUGGUCAGAGAAAGCUUCAAGGAGAGGGCGACAGUUGAGCAACGACCUGGAGGAGAUGGGGAAGUGAGACAUGUAUCCAGAAACAUUGCCAGCAAAGGGAACAGCAGCAGGUGCAAAGGCCCUGAGAUGAAAGGGACUGGCUGGCAUGUGCAGCGGGCAGCAGGAAGGCCAGGGGCCGCAUGGAUGAAUGGGAGAGUAGCAGGAGGUGAGCUCAGUGAGGUUGUAGAUCCAGGUACAGAGAGGAAGCCGAGCACAUUGCUCCAAUCCAAGCAGAUUCUUCAACUUCAUCUUCAGCUUUCCCAGACAGCUCCAUGAGGUGGAAGCCACCAAAUCCACCACUGCUUGCACUCAAGGAAGGUAAAUGGAUUUCAGCUGUGGCUCUUGAGGAAACAUGUGCCCAAGUCCAAACCAGUCAAAGCAUUCCAUAUCCCUAGCUACAGAGAUUUGUUCCUGGAGGGCGUGUGGAUCUGAUCCAGUCAGAGAGAACCUCAGGACUCUGGUGGAAAUGCUGGGAUAGAGACGUUCUCUCCCUCUGGAUAGUAUAGUAUGUCAAGUUAAGAGUCAAGGCCCAAGCUCCACAGCACCGAGA
rnacentral:lncRNA from 1 species